UACGGAAGGUCCGGGCGUUAUCCGGAUUUAUUGGGUUUAAAGGGAGCGUAGGCCGGGUUUUAAGCGUGCCGUGAAAUGUCGGGGCUCAACCUUGACACUGCAGCGCGAACUGGAGUCCUUGAGUGGGCGAGAAGUAUGCGGAAUGCGUGGUGUAGCGGUGAAAUGCAUAGAUAUCACGCAGAACCCCGAUUGCGAAGGCAGCAUACGGCAGCGCUACUGACGCUGAAGCUCGAAGGCGCGGGUAUCGAACAGG
rnacentral:rRNA from 1 species